rnacentral:lncRNA from 1 species
CGCGUUUAGAGGAUCAGUGGCGGCGGGCCCGCGCGGUGCCGGCGACUACAGCGAGAUGUCCUGGCCCCUUCCAGGUUUGGGAGAAUGGAGAGAGCAAGGUGUAGCUGAUUAGCAAGUUAAUUAUUUCAGUACCCCAAGGGUUCAUGCGUGGUGGAGAUGGCCUUGGGAGAGCAACCUCCGGACCUCAGCAGUGUGAGGAUGACAACAGUACCCUGUGGUGCUGUCCCCACUCAGGGUUUCUCUCUGUAGCCCUGACUGUCCUGGAACUCACUCUGCAGACCAGGCUGUCCUCAAGCUCAGAGAUCUACCUGCCUCUGCUUCUGAAGUACUUGGAUUAAAGAUGCAGAGGCCUCCCAGAGAAGUGUGAAGGAAUGGGCCUUAACCAGGGUUGAAGAAAGAAAGUGAAGAAGGGGAAAGCCCAAGGAAAGGUGGGGACAGUUGGAACUUUUGUUUACACCGGUCUACUACUCAUGUAUCGUAUGCUAUAAUCUCCAAAUUCCACAUUUAUUGUAGCUGUCUGCAGUGUGUAUGCCCCGGCCGCAUGCUGCUUGGCUAAAAAAGUGUUAAAUAAAACUGUAAGAAACGCUA